UCAUCAAGGCCCUGAUCCAAAGCCACUUGAAAUCAAUGGGAGUCCUUCCAGUGAUUUCAGUUAGCUCUGGAUCAGGCCUUGAUUGA
rnacentral:pre_miRNA from 1 species